rnacentral:tRNA from 1 species
GGAAGCAUAGCUCAGUUGGUUCAGAGCAUCUGCCUUACAAGCAGAGGGUCCGCGGUUCGAGCCCGUGUGCUUCCACAA